rnacentral:lncRNA from 1 species
UAUGAAUUAAAUAGAUUUACAGAUAUCUAUAGAACGUUUCAUUCUAAAACAAAAAUGAAUACUUUCCUCUCAGCAUCUUAUGGUACCUUCUCCAAACUUGACCAUAUAAUCGAUCACAAAAUAGACCUCAACAGGUACAAGAAGAUACAAAUAAUCCCAUACAUCCUAUCAGAUCACCAUGGACUAAGGCUGGUCUUCAAUAACAACAAAAAUGAUAGAAAGCCCACAUACACAUGGAAGCUGAACAAUGCUCUACUCAAUAACUUGGUCAAGGAAGAAAUAAAGAAAUUAAAGACUUUUUAGAAUUUAAUGAAAAUGAAGGCAUAAUAUACUCAAACUUAAUGGGAUACAACGAAACAGUGCUAAGAAGAAAACUCGUAGCUCUGAGUGCCUCCAAAACAUAACUGGAGAGAGCAUACACUAGCGGCUUGUCAGCCCGCCAGAAAGCUCUAGAACAAAAAGAAGCAAA